rnacentral:rRNA from 1 species
AGGACGAACGCUGGCGGCGUGCUUAACACAUGCAAGUCGAACGCCCCGCAAGGGGAGUGGCAGACGGGUGAGUAACACGUGGGAACAUGCCCAAAGGUACGGAACAACUCCGGGAAACUGGAGCUAAUACCGUAUGUACCCGAAAGGGGAAAGAUUUAUCGCCUUUGGAUUGGCCCGCGUCGGAUUAGCUAGUUGGUGGGGUAAAAGCCUACCAAGGCGACGAUCCGUAGCUGGUCUGAGAGGACGACCAGCCCACACUGGGACUGAGACACGGCCCAGACUCCUACGGGAGGCAGCAGUGGGGAAUCUUGGACAAUGGGCGCAAGCCUGAUCCAGCCAUGCCGCGUGGAUGAUGAAGGCCCUAGGGUUGUAAAAUCCUUUCGCCGAGGACGAUAAUGACGGUACUCGGAGAAGAAGCUCCGGCUAACUUCGUGCCAGCAGCC